rnacentral:rRNA from 1 species
CCUACGGGCGGCUGCAGUGGGGAAUUUUGCGCAAUGCUCGUAAGAGUGACGCAGCGACGCCGCGUGAAUGACGAAGGCCUUCGGGUCGUAAAGUUCUUUCGACAGGGAAGAAAAUGCAUAUAAGUAACUGUGUAUGUAUUGACGGUACCUGUAUAAGCAGCCCCGGCUAACUCCGUGCCAGCAGCCGCGGUAAUACGGAGGGGGCGGGCGUUGUUCGGAGGGACUGGGCGUAAAGAGCACGUAGGCGGUGUUGUAAGUCAUUAGUCAAAGACUAGAGCUCAACUUUAGUAAGGCUAGUGAUACUAUAAUACUAGAGUAUCAGAGAGGAUUGCAGAAUUCCUGGUGUAGCGGUGAAAUGCGGAGAUAUCAGGAGGAAUACCGUUAGCGAAGGCGGCAAUCUGGCUGGAAACUGACGCUGAGGUGCGAAAGCGUGGGUAGCAAACAGGAUUAGAUACCCUGGUAGUC